rnacentral:rRNA from 1 species
UACAGAGGGUGCUAGCGUUGUUCGGAAUCAUUGGGCGUAAAGGGCGUGUAGGCGGUUUGUUAAGUCAUGUGUGAAAGCCCCCGGCUCAACCGGGGAACGACGCAUGAAACUGGCAAGCUAGAGUACCGAAGAGGGGGGUGGAAUUCCCGGUGUAGCGGUGAAAUGCGUAGAUAUCGGGAAGAACACCCGUGGCUAAGGCGGCUCUCUAGUACGGUACUGACGCUGAGACGCGAAAGCGUGGGGAGCGAACAGG